UGGGGAAUAUUGCACAAUGGGGGCAACCCUGAUGCAGCCACGCCGCGUGAACGAAGAAGGUAUUCGUAUCGUAAAGUUCUGUCCUAUGGGAGGAUAAUGACAGUACCAUAGAAGAAAGCUCCGGCUAAAUCCGUGCCAGCAGCCGCGGUAAUACGUAUGGCGCGAGCGUUGUCCGGAAUUAUUGGGGGUAAAGGGUACGCAGGCGGUUUAAUAAGUCGAAUGUUAAAGAUCGGGGAUCAACCCAGCAAAGCAUUGGAAACUGAUAAACUUGAGUAGUGGAGAGGAGAGGAGAAUUCCUGGGGUAGUGGUGAAAUACGUAGAUAUUAGGAUGAAUACCAGUAGCGAAGGCGACUUUCUGGACAAAAACUGACGCUGAGGUACGAAAGCGUGGGGAGCAAACAGG
rnacentral:rRNA from 1 species